GUAAGGAAUAUUGCGCAAUGGAGGCAACUCUGACGCAGCCAUGCCGCGUGCAGGAAGAAGGCGCUACGCGUUGUAAACUGCUUUUAACCGGGAAGAAACCCCAGGACGUGUCCUGGGUUGACGGUACCGGAGGAAUAAGCACCGGCUAACUUCGUGCCAGCAGCCGCGGUAAUACGAAGGGUGCAAGCGUUAUCCGGAUUCAUUGGGUUUAAAGGGUGAGUAGGCGGAGCGUUAAGUCAGUGGUGAAAUCCUGCAGCUUAACUGUAGACUUGCCAUUGAUACUGGCGCUCUUGAGUGCGCUUGAAGUGGGCGGAAUGUGCCGUGUAGCGGUGAAAUGCUUAGAUAUGGCACAGAACACCAAUUGCGAAGGCAGCUCACUAAGGCGAUACUGACGCUGAGGCACGAAAGCGUGGGGAUCGAACAGGAUUAGAAACCCCUGUAGUCC
rnacentral:rRNA from 1 species